AUUGAACGCUGGCGGCAUGCCUUACACAUGCAAGUCGAACGGUAACAGGUCUUCGGAUGCUGACGAGUGGCGAACGGGUGAGUAAUACAUCGGAACGUGCCUAGUAGUGGGGGAUAACUACUCGAAAGAGUAGCUAAUACCGCAUGAGAUCUACGGAUGAAAGCAGGGGACCUUCGGGCCUUGUGCUACUAGAGCGGCCGAUGGCAGAUUAGGUAGUUGGUGGGAUAAAAGCUUACCAAGCCGACGAUCUGUAGCUGGUCUGAGAGGACGACCAGCCACACUGGGACUGAGACACGGCCCAGACUCCUACGGGAGGCAGCAGUGGGGAAUUUUGGACAAUGGGCGAAAGCCUGAUCCAGCAAUGCCGCGUGCAGGAUGAAGGCCUUCGGGUUGUAAACUGCUUUUGUACGGAACGAAAAGCCCUGGGUUAAUACCCUGGGGUCAUGACGGUACCGUAAGAAUAAGCACCGGCUAACUACGUGCCAGCAGCCGCCGUAAGAC
rnacentral:rRNA from 1 species